rnacentral:rRNA from 1 species
UACAGAGGGUGCGAGCGUUAAUCGGAAUUACUGGGCGUAAAGCGUGCGUAGACGGUUAUUUAAGUCGGGUGUGAAAGCCCCGGGCUCAACCUGGGAAUUGCAUUCGAGACUAAACAGCUAGGGUACGGUAGAGGGAAGUGGAAUUCCUGGUGUAGCGGUGAAAUGCGCAGAUAUCAGGAGGAACACCAGCGGCGAAGGCGGCGCUCUGGGCCGGUACUGACGCUGAGGAGCGAAAGCGUGGGUAGCAAACAGG